CUAAACAGGGGCACCAUCGUCCUCCUCCUUCAGCUGCUGCCCAUCCAGAAGGUCCAUGGAUGGCCACAGGAGAUAGAGGUGCUGGUGACCCUCUACUGGCUGGCCUGCGGUGCAUCCUAUAGGGAAACAGCUUGCCAUCCAGGUGGAGGCACACUACAACAGACACCACACCAGGGCGAGAAACAUCUUUGGGCGUGCCUUUGGUGGUCUGAAGACAUGGUGGCGUUCCAUCUUCUUAAGGGCGCUGGAGGUCUGCCUGACGUUUGCCCCAAAAGUAAUCGCCCUCUGCUGCAUCCUCCACAAUAUUAGUAUAGAGGCAUGGGACCAGCUGGACGUGGAGGACGAGGAGGUUGACCCAGAGGAGAACAGCCAUCCGGUGGCUGAAGACAGGGGGCUGCUCCAGCCUGACUACAUCUGACCUAACGUAGAUCAGUUGUAGUAGUCAUGUACACAUGCUGCUUAAUUUAAUUUUUUUC